rnacentral:rRNA from 1 species
AUGAACGCUGGCGGCGUGCCUAAUACAUGCAAGUCGAGCGAACAGACGAGGAGCUUGCUCCUCUGACGUUAGCGGCGGACGGGUGAGUAACACGUGGAUAACCUACCUAUAAGACUGGGAUAACUUCGGGAAACCGGAGCUAAUACCGGAUAAUAUAUUGAACCGCAUGGUUCAAUAGUGAAAGACGGUUUUGCUGUCACUUAUAGAUGGAUCCGCGCCGCAUUAGCUAGUUGGUAAGGUAACGGCUUACCAAGGCAACGAUGCGUAGCCGACCUGAGAGGGUGAUCGGCCACACUGGAACUGAGACACGGUCCAGACUCCUACGGGAGGCAGCAGUAGGGAAUCUUCCGCAAUGGGCGAAAGCCUGACGGAGCAACGCCGCGUGAGUGAUGAAGGUCUUCGGAUCGUAAAACUCUGUUAUUAGGGAAGAACAAAUGUGUAAGUAACUAUGCACGUCUUGACGGUACCUAAUCAGAUAGCCACGGCUAACUACGUG